AGCGAAGACAGAAUCAGUCAUUGCCUUUCAGUUAUGUUAGUAGACUUACACUAACAUCACUACUGCUACCGCAAACACAACUUUUCAGAAAUAAUACAGGAAUAUUACAUUGAAUUGUAAUAUACAAUGAGUUAAUAAAAUUAAUUUGUACCCAUAAAAAUAGUUGGAAAUUCACUCGACUUCCUGCAACCCCCCUCAGUGAGGGGAAAAUGGUACAGUCUGUACGUUCACGCUGAUGAAGACGUUAAUUGGUUCUGAUGACGCUUAAUGGAGACUCCUUCGCCUAAAACCACUAUCGAAACACUAAAGUGGUACAUAAAUGAAAAGAAAACAAGAAAAGAGAAAACAAUUAGUGGCAAGUUUGUCAGAAGAGAAGGGAUGAACACCUGUAAUCAGAAAACUAGCUGAAGAAGAAGAAGCUGUUUAGACUCAAGUGGAAAGGAAGAGAGAAACAGCGUGAAGCAGCAGGCUCCUGACAUGUGAUGACGAUAUUGAAGACGUAACACAAGUUCGCUCCUGAUCCUGAAAUCUUGGGCUGAAGAUUGAUCCACAAUCCUCCUCAUCCCUGAAGGAGGAUGAAGAGCGAGCUCAGAC